CCGGUGUCUGCCGAAGCCUCUGCCACCACAGGAUUGCAGCUCGUGCUUCUAAGGGCACCGAAAACCUCAUCUAAGUUCAGUCUGCACUACAACGUCCCCGUCAAGUUCUCAAACUCAACGCUUCCCGGGGUCACAGAGUCCUGCCUUGGAGAGAGAGGGAUUGGAACAAAUAAAUGGACCAAUGGAUCAUAGUGAACAGUUCAAAAGAAGACCCAUGAAUUUAUGGAAAUGUGAAAUAUGACAAGGGUGGCAUCAUAAAUCGAUGGGACAAUGGAUGGUGAUACGGAAACUAGCUCACUAUAUGGAGCAAAGAAAACUGGACCUCUGCCUUGUGAUGAAGAUGAGCUCUAGAUGGAUUAAAAACCUAAACAGGAGAGGAGCAAUUCCCAGCAGGCCUGUUCCAGAGCGGCAAGUGUGAAAUGCAGCCUUCACGGUGGAUUACAGGCCUAAAGGAGGCCUGUCACCUCCAGGCGCGCAGGAGAGAGCGG
rnacentral:lncRNA from 1 species